rnacentral:rRNA from 1 species
ACGAAGUAGCAAUACUUAGUGGCAGACGGGUGAGUAACAUGUGGGUAUCUACCCUUUGGCCUGGAAUAACACGAGGAAACUUGUGCUAAUACCGGAUAAGUCUUUACGGAGAAAGCUUUAUGCACCAUUGGAUGAGCCCGCACUUGAUUAGUUUGUUGGUAGGGUAAUGGCCUACCAAGACUAUGAUCAAUAGCUGAUUUGAGAGGAUGAUCAGCCACAUUGGGACUGAGACACGGCCCAAACUCCUACGGGAGGCAGCAGUGGGGAAUCUUGCACAAUGGAGGAAACUCUGAUGCAGCGAUGCCGCGUGAGUGAAGAAGGCCUUUGGGUUGUAAAGCUCUUUCGUCGGGGAAGAAAAUGACUGUACCCGAAUAAGAAGGUCCGGCUAACU